rnacentral:rRNA from 1 species
CCUACGGGAGGCAGCAGUGAGGAAUAUUGGUCAAUGGACGCAAGUCUGAACCAGCCAUGCCGCGUGCAGGAAGACGGCUCCAUGAGUUGUAAACUGCUUUUGUACGAGGGUAAACGCAGAUACGCGUAUCUGUCUGAAAGUACCGUAAGAAUAAGGAUCGGCUAACUCCGUGCCAGCAGCCGCGGUAAUACGGAGGAUUCAAGCGUUAUCCGGAUUUAUUGGGUUUAAAGGGUGCGUAGGCGGUCGGAUAAGUCAGAGGUGAAAUCACGAGGCUCAAAUUCGGAGUGGCCUGUGAAACUGUUCGGCUAGAGAAUAGUUGCGGUAGGCGGAAUGGAUGGUG